rnacentral:rRNA from 1 species
UACAGAGGGUGCGAGCGUUAAUCGGAAUUACUGGGCGUAAAGCGCACGUAGGCGGCUUGGUAUGUCGGGUGUGAAAUCCCCGGGCUCAACCUGGGAACUGCAUCCGAAACUGCCUUGCUAGAGUAUGGGAGAGGGAAGUGGAAUUUCCGGUGUAGCGGUGAAAUGCGUAGAUAUCUGGAGGAAUACCGGUGGCGAAGGCGGCAUCCUGGACCGGCAUUGACGCUGAUGAGCGAAAGCUAGGGGAGCGAACAGG